GCUGCCAGGAGCCUGGAGCGCUGCGUUCCGCGCAGGACGCCGGUGAGGCCCGCAGAGACUUGCGUCCGGGCGGGAGGCGGGGCCCAGGAUCUCUGCUCAAUCCUGGAGUCCGAGUCCGCAAAGUGGGAGGGAGGGUGUAGAUGUGAAUUUGGGGAAAAACGACCCUGUUGAAUUUCUAGAGUGGAAGAAACAUAGAACUAGCUUUUCUCUUUGCUUAGCACAUACAAAUGGAAAAACAGCGACACCGUUACCUACAUUUACUAGUCCAAUGCGUACAACCUUCUGUAGUAUAUCAACUGCCAAUGAGUUUAUGUUUUUAAAAAAACCACCCCAGAGAAGGGUUCUAAAAAUUCAGAAACCGCAUUACUAGCACACAUUGUAAGGUCUGUUUUGUUUUGUUUGUUCGUUUGUUUUUCAGACAGAGUCUCGCUCUGUCGCCCAGGCUGGAGUGGAGUGGAGAAAUCUCAGCUAACUGCAACCUUUGCCUCCUGGGUUCAAGCGAUUCUCCCUGCCUCAGUCUCCGGAGUAGCUGGGAUUAUAGGCGUGCACCACCACACCCGGCUAAUUUUUGUAUUUUUAGUAGAGACUGUUUCACUAUGUUGGGCAGGCUGCUCUUGAACUCCUCAUCUCAAGUGAUCCACCCGCCUUGGCCUCCCAAAGUGCUGGGAUUACAGGCGUGAGCCAUCAUGCACGGCCUGGGGUGAAUCUUUUUAAUGAGCAUUUAUUAUUUGCCGUUCACAAUGCCAAGGGUCAUAAUGAAUGAAAGUGUCUUGGAAUUAGAGUUAGU
rnacentral:lncRNA from 1 species